rnacentral:rRNA from 1 species
GAGUUUGAUCAUGGCUCUCGACGAACGCUGGCGGCGUGCCUAAUACAUGCGAGUCGAACGCUCGAGUGCUUGCACUCAAGGAGUGGCGGACGGGUGAGUAACGCCUGGGUAACCUGCCCAUCAGAGGGGGAUAACACUUGGAAACAGGUGCUAAUACCGCAUAACAGUCAAACCGCACGGUGUUGGAUGAAAGACGUUCG